rnacentral:rRNA from 1 species
AGCAGCCGCGGUAAUUCCAGCUCCAAUAGCGUAUAUUUAAGUUGUUGCAGUUAAAAAGCUCGUAGUUGAAUUUCGGGAUCAAUUAAUUGGUCGUGCCUAUGGUACGUACUGAUUUUAUUGGUUUCUCCCUUCUGACGAACCAUGAUGUCAUUAAUUUGGUGUCGUGGAGAAUCAGGACUGUUACUUUGAAAAAUUAGAGUGUUUAAAGCAAGCUAACGCUUGAAUACAUUAGCAUGGAAUAAUGAAAUAGGACGUUUGAUCCUAUUUUGUUGGUUUCUAGGAUCGACGUAAUGAUUAAUAGGGAUAGUUGGGGGCAUUAGUAUUCAAUUGUCAGAGGUGAAAUUCUUGGAUUUAUUGAAGACUAACUACUGCGAAAGCAUUUGCCAAGGAUGUUUUCAUUAAUCAAGAACGAAAGUUAGGGGAUCGAAGACGAUCAGAUACCGUCGUAGUCUUAACCAUAAACUAAUGCCGACUAGGGAUCGGAUGAUGUUAAUUUUUAAUGUACU